AGCGGGAGCGCUAAGCGAGCAUCUGCCAGUAUGUUUUCAUUUACCAGGAGCGAAAGUCAGAGGUUCGAAGACGAUCAGAUACCGUCCUAGUUCUGACCAUAAACGAUGCCAUCUGAUAAUCCGUGGUCUCUCCAUUCACGUGGGAUCACGGGCAGUCCCCGGGAAACCUGUAAGUUUAUGGGUUCCGGGGAAAGUAUGGUUGCAAAGCUGAAACUUAAAGGAAUUGACGGAAGGGCACCACCAGGAGUGGAGCUUGCGGCUUAAUUUGACUCAACACGGGAAAACUCACCCGGGCCGGACACUAUGUGGAUUGACAGAUUGAUAGCUCUUUCAUGAUUCGGUGGUUAGUGGUGCAUGGCCGUUCUUAGUUCGUGGUAUGAGUUGUCUGGUUAAUUCCGUUAACGAACGAGACUCCACCCUGCUAAUUAGUGCGCAGAUCAACUUAUUUGGUGUCUUUUUGUGUCCAGAGUAGGGCAUGUAGAAUCAUUUAAGUCUGUGAUGCUACUUAGAGGCACAGGUGGAUAAGCUAAAACCACAUGAAAAGGAGCAAUAACAGGUCUGUGAUGCCCUUAGAUGUCCGGGGCCGCACGCGUGCUACAAUGAUAGUGGUAGAGAGUCUGCUCUUCUAGCUCGAAAGGGUGGGGUUAAACUAAUUGCGCGAGAGGUGAAAUUCAUGGACCGUUGCCAGACAACCUAAAGCGAAAGCAUCUGCCAAGUAUGUUUUCAUUUACCAGGAGCGAAAGUCAGAGGUUCGAAGACGAUCAGAUACCGUCCUAGUUCUGACCAUAAACGAUGCCAUCUGAUAAUCCGUGGUCUCUCCAUUCACGUGGGAUCACGGGCAGUCCCCGGGAAACCUGUAAGUUUAUGGGUUCCGGGGAAAGUAUGGUUGCAAAGCUGAAACUUAAAGGAAUUGACGGAAGGGCACCACCAGGAGUGGAGCUUGCGGCUUAAUUUGACUCAACACGGGAAAACUCACCCGGGCCGGACACUAUGUGGAUUGACAGAUUGAUAGCUCUUUCAUGAUUCGGUGGUUAGUGGUGCAUGGCCGUUCUUAGUUCGUGGUAUGAGUUGUCUGGUUAAUUCCGUUAACGAACGAGACUCCACCCUGCUAAUUAGUGCGCAGAUCAACUUAUUUGGUGUCUUUUUGUGUCCAGAGUAGGGCAUGUAGAAUCAUUUAAGUCUGUGAUGCUACUUAGAGGCACAGGUGGAUAAGCUAAAACCACAUGAAAAGGAGCAAUAACAGGUCUGUGAUGCCCUUAGAUGUCCGGGGCCGCACGCGUGCUACAAUGAUAGUGUAGAAGAUUUU
rnacentral:rRNA from 1 species